AGCAUGCAGGCUUAUGAGAAAUUUCGGCAGGGACUGGGCCAACUCUACCCAGUUCUUUUGUUCUAGGAUCAUUUACCACUUGGAUCACUUGGCCCAUGGCAAGGAGUUACUAAGGACAGAUUCUUUGUAGAAUUUACAGAGUGAGCAUCUUUGGGGCUAAAAGACAUUCUGGAAAGAUGAGAAGAGGAACUGGUUAUCCUGGAGAAGUGCUGGAAAGAUGUGAGGUGGAUCUGGUGCUGCUGGAAAAAUGUUGGAAAGAAAGAAGGAAUCAGGUCCUUAUCUGUGUCUUCUCUGUCCUUUUGUUUGGGAGUCAGCACAUUUGGCCUGCUUGCUUCUUACCCCGCUGUAAGUCUUUCAGACUCACAGUUGAAAUAUUUGACUAGGAUCAGAAAAUGGCUCUGACUCAUUUAUAGGUACCUGCCUGUACUUGGCCCAGGUCUGGACCAGAGAUUUGAGUAUCAACCUGCUUUUUAUUUGACCUCAAGAAUUGUAUAGAAGUUUCUAGGAGGUGAAAAAGAAAAUUAUAAUUUCUUUUUUAUUUGGGUUGACAUAGUAGGGUAUCUGAUAUGAUAAGAUAUGAUAUGAUAUGACAUGAAAACAUGGAAGGUCCAUUCGAAAGGUCACAAUGCAUUCUAGACAGAAACUCUUGAUUUUUCCAUAGUCAAGUCCUAGCCUACAGUGACAGUAGUAAUUAUUUUGUAAAAUCACAGCCAACCCUGCCAAGUCAACCUUUCCCAUCUAGGUUCACUUCCUGGUGCGUUUAACUUUGUACACAAAUAAGGUGUCACAAAACUGUCAACUUACCUCACAGAACCCCAACUUACUUCUGUAAUCCUUCUUGAGUCUCUCACUAGCACGGUGGGUUGGGCGCAGUCCUGGAGUGGUGAGGAGGGUUCUAGAGCUAAUGUGUGCUGCUCUUACCCUGACUGUUAUUUGGUGAACCAGGGCUAUGGUGUGGAUUUCUACUGAGUGAGGGGAAGCUUUAGCUAGUGGAAAAGGCAAUGUGCAAUGCAGACAGGAGACCUGGAUCCUAUCCUAAUUUCCCAAACACAUGCCUUGUAACCUUAAAGGAGCCACCACCCUCUUUUGGCUUGGCUAGAUUAUUGAUGAGCUUUCUUCCUUUGAGAUGCUACAGGGCUGGAAUAUCUGAUAUUGGAGAUAGAUGACCAUAUUCAUAAGAAACAAGCAUGGAUGUACUUUAACACUCUGCACUGAUUCCAUUUACAAAUGAGAUCAAAAGACAGUGACCUAAAACCACAGGGAUUGAUCAGGAUCAGAGUCCAUCCUGAGCACUAAUUAGCAGGGGCUGUAGAGUGAGGCCUUAUGUAAGACUGCACUUUUAAAGUAACAGUUAAGUUCCUACAGCCUUACUUUUUAGAGGCCAAUUGGCUUAUUAUCUUUUAUAGUACUUCUAACAAUACAGCACAAGAGGUAGCAUUAUGGAACACAAGUCAGCAUGCCUAGUAACUCAUGAAAAGUAACGUAACAUACUAAAAGUAUCUGCUCUGGCAAGGAGACCCCG
rnacentral:lncRNA from 1 species